rnacentral:rRNA from 1 species
AGAUUGAACGCUGGCGGCAUGCCUUACACAUGCAAGUCGAACGGCAGCACGGGGGCAACCCUGGUGGCGAGUGGCGAACGGGUGAGUAAUGCAUCGGAACGUGCCCAGUAGUGGGGGAUAACUAGUCGAAAGAUUAGCUAAUACCGCAUACGACCUAUGGGUGAAAGCGGGGGAUUCGCAAGAACCUCGCGCUAUCGGAGCGGCCGAUGUCUGAUUAGCUAGUUGGCGGGGUAAAANCCCACCAAGGCUUCGAUCAGUAGCUGGUCUGAGAGGACGACCAGCCACACUGGGACUGAGACACGG